AUCUUCUGCCUUUUGCCUUUCAA
rnacentral:piRNA from 1 species